AGAGACCGGCGCACGGGUGCGUAACGCGUAUGCAAUCUACCUUUCACAAAGGGAUAGCCCAGAGAAAUUUGGAUUAAUACCUUAUAGUAAUACGACUUGGCAUCAAGAUGUAUUUAAAGAUUUAUCGGUGAAAGAUGAGCAUGCGUCCCAUUAGCUAGUUGGUAAGGUAACGGCUUACCAAGGCAACGAUGGGUAGGGGUCCUGAGAGGGAGAUCCCCCACACUGGUACUGAGACACGGACCAGACUCCUACGGGAGGCAGCAGUGAGGAAUAUUGGACAAUGGGCGCAAGCCUGAUCCAGCCAUGCCGCGUGCAGGAUGACGGUCCUAUGGAUUGUAAACUGCUUUUAUACGAGAAGAAACACCCCGACGUGUCGGGACUUGACGGUAUCGUAAGAAUAAGCACCGGCUAACUCCGUGCCAGCAGCCGCGGUAAUACGGAGGGUGCAAGCGUUAUCCGGAUUCACUGGGUUUAAAGGGUGCGUAGGCGGGUAUUUAAGUCAGUGGUGAAAUCCUAGAGCUUAACUCUAGA
rnacentral:rRNA from 1 species